rnacentral:rRNA from 1 species
CGCGCAGGCGGCGUCGUAAGUCGGUCUUAAAAGUGCGGGGCUUAACCCCGUGAGGGGACCGAAACUGCGAUGCUAGAGUAUCGGAGAGGAAAGCGGAAUUCCUAGUGUAGCGGUGAAAUGCGUAGAUAUUAGGAGGAACACCAGUGGCGAAAGCGGCUUUCUGGACGACAACUGACGCUGAGGCGCGAAAGCCAGGGGAGCAAACGG